rnacentral:lncRNA from 1 species
AUUGGCACAUACUCCCAACUUAAGGGUAUCUUUAGGGCAAGUGGCCUUAGCAGGACUGGGGCUAGGAGUUGGCUUGGGCUUGUUCUUUGACUUAGGAGGGUUAGGGCAAGUGCCACAUGCAGAGACAAUGGCAAAGAAGAGAAGGUUAACUAAAAGGAAGAAAGCCACUGAUGCAGAGCUCUUGGAAGCCAUAUCCCAAGCCCUAAUUUUUUUUCUCUUUUUUUACAAUAGUAAUAAAGUGGUG